GGAAGCCAACACACAGAAAGGUGAAAUCACGCGUCUGUGGCACUAGGACGCCAGUGGAGAAGGUUGGACUUGCGCUCUAACAGUGGCAGAAUCAGGCUUCCCAGGCCUUGGCACCUUUGGCAUACUAGCUCUGGAUAACAAGCAGAAGUUGAGAAAUAGUCCUCAAAUGUGGCCCCACCUGCUCUGCUCUGCUUGCCUCCCACCCAGCCCAGCUCCCCACCGCAGGAAAGACCGCCUCAGGUCCUACGGCGCUCGCGAAUAAUGUGUGCGGCUGUUGGCAAGUCAACAUCCCUUCAAAGUGUGAGACACAUGGAUAAGGAUGGGUGAUUUGUGUGCAAAGAAGCGAUACGCAUCACUAGAAGCCGUUCUUUGAAUUUUGACGUGCAGUGUCUUUCAUGACGCUGGGCAGCAGCAGUGACCCCAUUUCCCAGUCAGCCACAGGAUCAUGAAGGCAGCCUGAAGACAUUUUGCACACUGGCAAGAUGAAAACCCUUGAUACUUGCCUCCUGGGGAUGGAAAGGCAGGAAGAGUUUGGAUUCUGUGAACCCUUAGAAGACGGUUCCGUAUGUGUCUCACGUUGCCACCAGCUGUUUGAGAUCAGCAAGGCCUCGUUUGCUCCUCUGGACGGGUCGCCAGACGGUAUGUGGCUGCUUGACGAAGCACAGGACGAGAACAGAAUGGCAGCAGCUGGGCACUUCUGU